CCUACGGGAGGCAGCAGUGGGGAAUUUUGGACAAUGGGCGCAAGCCUGAUCCAGCUAUUCCGCGUGUGGGAUGACGGCCCUCAGGUUGGAAACCACUUUAUUAGAGAACAAAAAGUCGCUCUCGCAUGACUCGCUCUGCUGACGUUACUCUCAGAAUAAGCACCGGCUAACUACAUGCCAGCAGCCGCGGUAAUACGUAGGGUGCGAGCGUUAAUCGCACUUACUGGGCGUAAAGGGUGUUCAGGAGGAUGAGUAAGACAGAUGGGAAAUCCCCGGGCUUAACCUGGGAACAGCAUAUGUGACUGGUGGGCUAGAGGGCGUCAGAGGGAGGGGGAAUUCCACGUGGAGCAGUGAAAUGCGUAGAUAUGUGGAAGAACACCGAUGGCGAAGGCAGCCUACUGGGAGGGAUCUGACGCUCAUACACGAAAGCGUGGGGAGCAAACAGGAUUAGAUACCCGAGUAGUC
rnacentral:rRNA from 1 species